AUCUAGCUGACGAGUCCUGAAUAAGACGAAAUGCGCGUUCUUCAU
rnacentral:hammerhead_ribozyme from 1 species